rnacentral:sRNA from 1 species
CUAGUCACCCCUUCCCUCACUCUGUCACUAGUCACCCCCUCACUCUAGUGACAGUGAGGGAGGGUGUGACUAGUGACAGAGUGAGGGAGGGAAGUGGUGACUAGUUGACAGCGUUAGGGAGGGAAGGGGUGACUAGUGACAGAGGGAGGGGUGACUAGGGACAGAGUGAGGGAGGUGGUGACUAGUGACUAGUGACAGUCACCACCUCCCUCACUCUGUCACUAGUCACCACCUCCCUCACUGUGUCACCCCCUCCCUCUGUCACUGGUCACCCACUCCCUCCCUCACUCUGUCACUAGUCACCCCUUCCUUCCCUCUGUCACUAGUCACCCCCCUCACUCUGUCACUAGUCACCCCCCUCACUCUGUCACUAGUCACCCCCCUCACUCUGUCACUAGUCACCCCCUCACUCUAGUGA